UCUGCGCAAGUGACUGUGUUUUUCCUUAUUUAUCGAGAUUUAUGAUUAUAAAAGACUGCCUUUUGAUUGAACCCCGCUUGAACAUUGGACCCCGUACCCUGCAUCCCCGCUGAACUUUGUUGGAAAACCGGACCUGUAGUUAUUAUUUAACGAUAUCAUGAGCCUGUGCACUAAUUGCGGAAUAGCAACGGACCGCUGCAAUACAAUAGGAAGGCGAAGAUUGGAAGAUGAAAUGAUUCUUUCAAUUGUACAGGAAUGGGUCGCGCCUCAAACGGUAAAUGAUAAUGAUUUUAUCUGCCAAGCUUGCUGGAAACAUGCCAAUGCUAUGUCUCUUGAUAAAAGUAUAGCAGAAGAGAGUCAGCGGGCACCUUCAAUAGGACACCGGCGAGUGUGUAUUCACUGUGGCCGUUCUCUUCUGAGAAGAGUUCGUUGCCAUCAACUAAGGACCGGUGAAGUGCAAGAACGCAGAAUACACGAAGUUAUAAGAGAAUGGAUCCUACCACGCACAGUUAGUAUAUUAGUCCUAAUCAUGAUUUAAUAAUACCAUUGUUUUAGUUCUGAUAACAAGGGCAUUAAAAUGUUAUUUGACAAUCUAAAACAUUAAAGUGAAUUAAACAG